rnacentral:rRNA from 1 species
UACGGGGGGGGUAAGCGUUGUUCGGAAUUACUGGGCGUAAAGGGCUCGUAGGCGGCCAACUAAGUCAGACGUGAAAUCCCUCAGCUUAACUGGGGAACUGCGUCUGAUACUGGAUGGCUUGGAUUCGGGAGAGGGAUGUGGAAUUCCACGUGUAGCGGUGAAAUGCGUAGAGAUGUGGAGGAACACCGAUGGCGAAGGCAGCCUUCUGGGCCAACACUGACGCUCAUGCACGAAAGCGUGGGGAGCAAACAGG